rnacentral:rRNA from 1 species
GGGAGGCAGCAGUGGGGAAUAUUGCACAAUGGGCGCAAGCCUGAUGCAGCCAUGCCGCGUGUAUGAAGAAGGCCUUCGGGUUGUAAAGUACUUUCAGCGGGGAGGAAGGUGUUGUGGUUAAUAACCGCAGCAAUUGACGUUACCCGCAGAAGAAGCACCGGCUAACUCCGUGCCAGCAGCCGCGGUAAUACGGAGGGUGCAAGCGUUAAUCGGAAUUACUGGGCGUAAAGCGCACGCAGGCGGUCUGUCAAGUCGGAUGUGAAAUCCCCGGGCUCAACCUGGGAACUGCAUUCGAAACUGGCAGGCUUGAGUCUUGUAGAGGGGGGUAGAAUUCCAGGUGUAGCGGUGAAAUGCGUAGAGAUCUGGAGGAAUACCGGUGGCGAAGGCGGCCCCCUGGACAAAGACUGACGCUCAGGUGCGAAAGCGUGGGGAGCAAACAGGAUUGGAUACCCUGGUAGUCCACGCCCUAAACGAUGU